CAGAGAAUAGUUUAAUUAAAACUUUAAUUUUGGGGAUUAUAGAUAGAGUAUACUCUUUCUCUGA
rnacentral:tRNA from 1 species